UUCUGUUUGGAAAAAUAUUUCGGAAAUUAUUCAUACCAUAAACGUGAUCAGAUUUUUAUAUAAGGCGAUGCUUUUAAACGGUAAAGUAUCUGUUUUCUACAGCAUUAAAAAUGAACAAGUCACUUUUCCUUCUCUUGCUCGUCAUCGGACUCCUCGUCCUCACCGAUACCACUGAUGCGUGGCGUCGUCGUCGUCGUAAUGGCCGUCGUCGAUGGUGGAACGAAAAAGAAGCAAAAAAAACUGAAGAUGUAGAAUCGAUUGAAGAACCAAAAGAAGAUGACCGUUGGUAUGAACAAUAAGUGUUCAUAAUUAUAAUCCGACGAUGUUAAUAAAAUAAACUCGAAUUCAGCAUUUUUUGAAUUAUUACUUGGAAAUUGAUUGUAUGAAAAACAGAUCUAUGACACUAGUAAAGAGAUUAGCAGAAUGUUUCACAUGUUCUGAGUAAUUCUGUACUGGAAAUAAAAAGGAAAAGCAGUUUGCGCACGUUUAUCCCGAGUGUACAUAUUUAAAAGUCUGUUGGAAAUAGAUUUUAUUAAAAACCAAUACGACUACCAUUCGCGAAGGUGCUCAGUUGUUUAAACAGUUUUUAAUAGUACAUAAAAGAGUUUUUAAUAGUAAGAACUUGCGGCAAUGGUAGUUAAAUUUGUCCACUUUGUAGUUUUGUAGGUGUUUAGUGACAAAUUUUAAGUUUAAAAAAAAUAUGCGCUAUUUAUUUCCCCUUAUUAAAUGAGGAUUUAAAUAAACAAUUAUAUCGAGAUUGUAUAAUUCUAUCUUCGUUGUGUUUAGAAUUAUAUGUCAUCCAUUUCCUUUAAGUUUUUAAUUGCAGUUAGAUUGCCAUAAAAGAAUAAACAUGAAAUAGCAAGAACCAAAACGUUUUUCGAACACAAUGCGGGUGGAAAAGCUGGCAAUUGUUUUGCUGCGGCAAGCUAUUCUCAUGUGAUUUCUCUGGAAUAUCAGUCUUGAACUGACUUUUUUGGAAAAUAAUUUUAGAAACUAAUCUUACCAUAAUUGUGUUUGGAUAUAUUUUUAAUAUGAAAAACCGAACGUUUCAACAACUUGCUGAAAUAUAGCUGUAAAUGGUAACGUGGUAUGCACACGUGAUGUUAUAAAGCAUCACUUAUAUUUUAAAAAAUAAUAUAUAAUAGGAUGGAAUGUGUUUUCAGAUUGUAAAAUUUCACCAGUUGUGGGAAUCGCUGUUAACUCCUCGUGUGUUUUAAUAUAUUUUUUGAAGUGUUAUCUAUUAAUAUAGGAAUGAUAGUACUAAUUAGUGGUAUCACUCAAAACCGAGAUAUAUUUUAAACUUGGAAAUUUCGGGUAAUAUGUGUUUAAGUGUCCCAUUUCUACCCAUUCUACUAUAUAACUAAAGCAAAUACAGUUAAGUGUCUCGACAACUUUGUAUAGGAACUUAACAAAACGGUUGCAUGAAAAGAGAGCAGAUAUAUUUUCCUCUCCACCAACCUCCAGGAUGUUGGCUGCAGUAAACAGGAUGCAUGUGUGGAAAGUAACUAAAACCACUCUCUUAUCAUCUAUCCUCGCACUCUUGUGGUGGAGAAACUCUCGGCUUUACGGGAAGCAAUUAAAACGUUUUUUUUUGUAAAAGCCGAUUCAAUAGGCAUGAAGAAAGUGUUGUUACUAUAUAGUUGGCUUUUAAUAAAGUUAAUAUAACCCAAAUAAACUGACACUGAGUAAAAAUAAAACCCAUUUUAAUGAAACAGAACCGUUCAAAGUUUGGCUUAACGGUUCUACGUUCGCUCCGCAACCAUAAUAUAGGUUACCCAGUUUUUUGAAUUAUCAUUGUAUACUACCAAAUGGGACGAGAAAAAGAAUGAAAAGGUGUCCCAUCUUCCCCCACCUUACUAUACAAUACAAAUAAAUUUAAAAUCCCUACAAAAUAGUUACCUUCAAAGUAAUAUAAAAUUUGUAGGCUGUCACGGGAAUAUACAAGUCAACAGCCAUGUUAUAACGACUGUCGUUUCCCCGCCACUCAAAGAUAAUUUAACCAAGUUAUUUAUUCUUUACAUAUUAAUAUACUAGGAAAGCUAUUAAAACGGCAGCAUCAUAGCCAAAUGAUACCGGGUUCGAAGUUGGUUGCCGUCGUCAUUGCGGGCGUAUCUGUCUUUGAGCGAGACACUUAAAGGUAAUUGCUUUAGUUAUCUGAAAUAUCUACAUUUUGAACAUUAAAUAAAAAAUUGUCUCUAAAAUGAUUACUCAUAAAGUUGCAUAAGUGUAAACGGCACGUGUGUGGCUGUAUUUAUUUUUGCGUGGCGGGGAAACUGGAAUUUACACUGUACACCAAUAUGAAAUACCUCAAUAUAUUCCGUAUAACUACAAGCCUUUCUUGGAAAAUUACCAAAAACUUGUUAUUGGAAGUUAACAAAACGAUUUUAGAUCACGUUGCAUCAAGAGAAAGCAGAUAAAUUCUCCUCUCCCACCAACCUCCAGGAUGUUGGCUGCAGUAAACAGGAUGCUAAUUAAACUGGCUUUCUGUUUUGGAAAAAUAUUUCGGAAAUUAUUCAUACCAUAAACGUGAUCAGAUUUUUAUAUAAGGCGAUGCUUUUAAACGGUAAAGUAUCUGUUUUCUACAGCAUUAAAAAUGAACAAGUCACUUUUCCUUCUCUUGCUCGUCAUCGGACUCCUCGUCCUCACCGAUACCACUGAUGCGUGGCGUCGUCGUCGUCGUAAUGGCCGUCGUCGAUGGUGGAACGAAAAGGAAGCG